rnacentral:rRNA from 1 species
GGAAUAUUGGGCAAUGGAUGCAAGUCUGACCCAGCCAUGCCGCGUGCCGGAUGAAGGCCCUCAGGGUUGUAAACGGCUUUUAUUCGGGAAGAAGAGCGGGGAUGCGUCCCUGUGUGACGGUACCGAAUGAAUAAGCACCGGCUAACUCCGUGCCAGCAGCCGCGGUAAUACGGAGGGUGCGAGCGUUGUCCGGAUUUAUUGGGUUUAAAGGGUGCGUAGGUGGCUGAUUAAGUCAGUGGUGAAAUACAGCCGCUCAACGGUUGAGGUGCCAUUGAUACUGAUUAGCUUGAAAUAAUUGGAGGCUGCCGGAAUGGAUGGUGUAGCGGUGAAAUGCAUAGAUAUCAUCCUGAACACCGAUUGCGAAGGCAGGUGGCUACGAUUUAUUUGACACUGAGGCACGAAAGCAUGGGGAGCAAACAGGAUUAGAUACCCGAG